UAGAGAUCGGGAGGUAAUUAUUGGGUAUUAGUUUAUUCAUUGGUUGGGGCCGAUAGAGGGGGUUGGAUUACGCAUAUAUAAACAGCAUACGUGUGUGUGACCCAGACGAGCGUCACUUCCCGGUAUCCCGUUUCGCUUCCGGCGUAUGGACUGAGGGCUGUUGUUAUCUUGGCUGUGCAGGACGAUUGCUGCAACUGUAAACAUCUCCGUGGCUGCAGAUAUUGUGGCUUUGACUUGUCGGCGGCGUGUUUCAUCUGUUUAUGCGAUCACAUUCAGUCAAUACGAUGCUGCGUAUGGGCGGAUGACGACUGUAUAUGCCAAGUUAUUCUCCUUGUGUAUCCUGAGCUCCACCAGCUGAGUGAUUAAACUGAAACUAAAACUUUGCAUUGCCACUAUGGAGUAUUAUCUUCACCUCCACUGAUUCCCGGGUCCCUGUGCCUGUUAUUCGGUAUGUCUCACUCAUGUGGGUUUAUUACAGAAAUGUAUUGUGACGACUGAUUAACAUGAUUAGUUUUCCCCCAUUUUAUAGAGUGAUAGGGGUAUGCAGUGACGUCACCGCUGUCUUGUUCCGGGUUGAAUAUUCGCGUUCGUGAACGUGAAUCCUAUUUUGAUACGUUUGUGAAUCCGCUAAUGCGGUGGGAGUGCUUUUGCACUUAUAUGGUCCAGUUAUGUUUUCAGUGAUUUACUUGUUGUUUUGGGUUAAUUUUUGUAUUAUUGCCAGCGUACUGGCGUGAACAUAUGUUUUCUUUCUGUUUGUUUCAGUGACAAUUGGUUUUGUUUCUUUAUUCUUUAAUUCAAUUUAAUUUGGUUAAUUUUGUUAUUGUGUGUUUGACAGGCAUUAAGUGUCAGCUGUGUUGCCUGCCUGAAUUUUGUAAAUCAUUUUUGUUUCUGUUUGAGUGUGUGUUUGUGUGUGUGCUGUGUUAUUUUGUUUUACAGGAGCUGCAGACCUUUGAUGAAGAGCAGGGCUAAAUAAAGUCUUUCUUUAGGUGGUGAUGGUGUUUCCUCACGGAGUGCUGUGAUUUGCCGUGUGCACUGGGGCUUUUGGAGUGGUGUGAGUUUGCAGUGUACGUAGAGUAAAGGCCUGUACGGCCGGUCAUUUAGCCGAGGCUGCAGCUCCUUGUGUCGUCCUUCUGGACCAUUUGUGUGAUUGUGGUCCCAUUUUAUGCAUCUUGUGAAUGCAUUUUAAAUUUCUUCUGACUUUGCAAUUACAAUAAAUACUCUAUUUUUAUACCAGUACCUCUGUCUCCAUUGCCUAUUUGCCACAGAGUGGGGAACCUGUGCAUAUUGUUUUCAAUAAAUUCCCUGGGUGAGACUCCCAGGGUGGCGUAGUCAGGCAUUAUUAACCCUUUGGUUAAUUAACUUAUUCAAAUUUAUUUAACUCAUACCUUCCCUCUGCCAUUUGGCCACAAUAGUAUUAUAUGUAAAAUAAUAGAAUUUAAAUGCAGUACAUAUACAGAAAUAUUGUGUUUUUAUGUUAAGAUAUGUCAGUGCAAGUUGUUUUUAGUUUGGACAGCUCUUACAAUUAUUUUAGGAAUAUUCUAAUCCCUGUCCGGGAAACCGUCCCCUUAUGUAUUUAAAAAAAAAAAAAAUAAUGGUCUCCUUGACUAGAAAAGUGCAUCUCAGACUUUUUGACUGUAAGGAUUAAUUUAACUUCAUUUAAAUGAAUGAAAUGAUUUUAUUACACUUUGUGCUUUUUUUUAUUGUUGUUUGGUGUGAUGUUAAAGACUGGCAUAAUAUAGUAUUUAACAAAUCAAUAAAUAAUUUUUACAGUUAUAAAUCUUAGGGUUAGAAUAAAAGACCAGAGUAAUAUAUUUUUUAACAAAAGCGAAGUUUAAUAAAAAAAAAAUAGUUUUUCGGUUUUAAUAGAAAGAUUAAAUUGCUCUAUAUGACAUAGAACAACAAAAAGUUUCAAAUUCUCUAUUUAAUCAAUUCUUUAUUGAAAUUUAAAUUGUUUAUGUAGUUAUCUAAGAUGUUUAUUUAUGUAAAUGCUGCGUGACUGAAUGUGUGUGAUGCGCGCGCUGAAUGUUUCUGCCCCUUUAAAUCCGUGCGUAAGUUACAACUGCUUGAAUGACGUCAAAGUAACGCGAGAGGGAUUCAAAAAAUCAUGCGGAGACUCGGCUCUCGCGGUAGUUUUACGUCAUGCGCCACUCAGUUCUUUCGGCGACGCAUGAGGUCCAACAAGUCUUGAGUUACAAUUUAUGCACUACUAAAUAUUUUUGCGUAUAAAACUUGGUUAACCAUAAAACUUGGUUAGAGCGUAACUCUAUGUAUAAACUAAAUGUAUAUGAAAACGUUAACGGUUGGAAUAAAUAAAUAAAUAAAUAUAAAAAAAAUUGAGUACCAUUAAAUAUAAACGUACUUUAACAGUUAACUGCGUGAAUCAAAUAUGUAUGAAUCAAAGAUAAAUUUUAAUUUCAACACAAUUUCUGCUCAGCCUUUAGGCUGCUAUUGGAUAAUUCAAGGUAAACGUCAUAUUGUGCGACUAUGCAUUACUGUAUGGAGAGCUUACCACCUACUAGCUACGUUAUGCCUUACGAAGAGGUGGUGCAGCUGAAUUAAUUAGUUACAAUUAAUCAGUUAAUCAGUUAUUAAUCAGUAGUUAAGCCUCUAGUGCAGACUUUCCGUUCCAGUUCAAGCAAGAACUUACGGAUAGCUGGUGCAACCCUACCCUGGAGUGGAGUGGCGGGAGUUACCAUGGAAACGAGUUGACAGGAACAAAGUGCGAAAAGCGUUAUAGGCAGUAGCACAGCAGCUUAACACGGAAGCUAUGGAAGUUUUUUUCUAACAAAAUUUAAAUUCAAAUGGUUAAGAGUACGAAACUAUAGGCUAAAUCAAAACCCUCUAAACAACUGCUCAAAUGAGAAAUCAAAUGCUUAAAUGUUUAAAUAAUAAAUCAAAGUCUCAAAUUGGCUGCUCAAAUGAGAUAUCAAAUGGUCAAAUGCAAUUUUGUUUCCUUAUUUGGGGAAGCAUGGAUUGUAUCAAAAAUCUAAUUAAAAUCAUAUGUAUUUGAAAUUUCAUUUACAACCCAGUAUAAACCUGUCAUAACAAUUGACUUUUGUGAAAAGCGCUAUAUAAAUAAAAUUGAAUUGAAUAAUAAUGACAAAUCAAAUACUCAAACCGAAAGCGCAAAUAAUAAAUAAAAUGCUCAAGUAUAUAUAGAAAGCUCAUUAAGUGACUUCAUAUGCACUUUUUUCACAUUGUAUAACCUUGCAUCUUGUUAUUUUCCUUUGCUAAUUUUUACAUUCAUUGCAGUUAUUUAAAGAAGGUUUUGACAUCUGAACGUGAGUGGCACUGCACAAUAUUAAAUGAAUAAAUAAACCUAAAAACAUAAAAUUCUGUUUUUUAUACUAUCCUUUCAGCAUUUCACCUCUACUCUUGCUUGUUUCCUUUUGCAGUGCAUACUAAAAUUGUUUGCUUUGUGACAAAUUGCAUGU